UGACUGCAUGAGGCUGUACGUAUCUGCAGCCUGCCCCUUUUCAUGGUGUUUAUCCACUCACACAGUGAUGAGCAGUGGUGGAGGCAAUGCCCAGAGCUGUGGCAGCCACCUUGCAGCCGUGAAGCACCAGUGGGAAUGACAGUCAAGAGAACCACGGAGAUGCCAGCCCCUGGACCCACAGCAGCAGCACCUGCUUCCAGACUCAGAGUGUGAGAAAAAAAUAAACUCCUAUUUGUUUAUGGCAAGAGACAAGGUCUAGCUCUGUGAUGCAGGCCGGAGGACAGUGGUGUGAUCACAGCUCACUGCAGCCUUGAACUCCUGGGUUCCAGCAAUCCUCCCACCUCAGCCUCCUUAGUAGGCGUGGCUACAGUAAUGGAAGACAGCAAAAGAAGUUUGGAGAUUCCUGGUUUAAAGCAUUUAAAGCCUCUGUGAAAAUUUGCCCAGGCCAACAACUUCACUUUCCACACUCAGUGCCACGAAGUGCAGCUCUAAGCUGGGGAUUUCUGUGCAGAGAUGAUCCACUGAGUGCAACCCACCACCGUGCGGACACCACCCCUGCAGAAUCAUCUGUGAAAACAACCCCAGGCCCAGACAUAGGGGCCAGCUAAGCUUCGUAGCCCUCGAAAUACAGGGAGUGCCCCCUCUGGACCCUCGAGCCCACAGUCCAUCCACCACAGAGGUGUCUGCUGCUCAUCAGAUAGUUCCUACCAAGAAAAUGCUGUGUGAACCCAUCUGUGUGGCAAACCGGCACGGGGAGAAAGCUGACUUCCAAGGACGUCUACCAACUGUCACUUGCAAACCAGAACUUGCCUCUUUGUAGAUGAAGACUGGCAGGGCUGAAGAAAUGAUCUCAUGUUGAAAUUAAUGAUGAGCUUC
rnacentral:lncRNA from 1 species